rnacentral:rRNA from 1 species
UAAGCAUAUCAAUAAGCGGAGGAAAAGAAACCAACAGGGAUUGCCCCAGUAACGGCGAGUGAAGCGGCAACAGCUCAAAUUUGAAAUCUGGCCCCAGGCCCGAGUUGUAAUUUGCAGAGGAUGCUUUUGGCGCGGUGCCUUCCGAGUUCCCUGGAACGGGACGCCAUAGAGGGUGAGAGCCCCGUACGGUUGGACACCAAGCCUUUGUAAAGCUCCUUCGACGAGUCGAGUAGUUUGGGAAUGCUGCUCUAAAUGGGAGGUACAUUUCUUCUAAAGCUAAAUAUUGGCCAGAGACCGAUAGCGCACAAGUAGAGUGAUCGAAAGAUGAAAAGCACUUUGAAAAGAGGGUUAAACAGCACGUGAAAUUGUUAAAAGGGAAGCGCUUGUGACCAGACUUGCGUCCGGUGAAUCACCCAGCUCUCGCGGCUGGGGCACUUCGCCGGCACAGGCCAGCAUCAGCUUGCCGUCGGGGACAAAAGCUUCAGGAACGUGGCUCCUCUCGGGGAGUGUUAUAGCCUGUUGCAUAAUACCCUUCGGCGGGCUGAGGUACGCGCUCCGCAAGGAUGCUGGCGUAAUGGUCAUCAGCGACCCGUCUUGAAACACGGACCAAGGAGUCAACCUUAUGUGCGAGUGUUUGGGUGUCAAACCCCUACGCGUAAUGAAAGUGAACGCAGGUGAGAGCUUCGGCGCAUCAUCGACCGAUCCUGAUGUUCUCGGAUGGAUUUGAGUAAGAGCAUAUAGGGUUGGACCCGAAAGAAGGUGAACUAUGCGUGUGUAGGGUGAAGCCAGAGGAAACUCUGGUGGAGGCUCGCAGCGGUUCUGACGUGCAAAUCGAUCGUCAAACAUGCGCAUGGGG